GGGGAAUAUUGGACAAUGGGCGAAAGCCUGAUCCAGCCAUGCCGCGUGAGUGAUGAAGGCCCUAGGGUUGUAAAGCUCUUUUGUGCGGGAAGAUAAUGACGGUACCGCAAGAAUAAGCCCCGGCUAACUUCGUGCCAGCAGCCGCGGUAAUACGAAGGGGGCUAGCGUUGCUCGGAAUCACUGGGCGUAAAGGGUGCGUAGGCGGAUCUUUAAGUUAGAGGUGAAAGCCUGGAGCUCAACUCCAGAACUGCCUUUAAUACUGGGGAUCUUGAGUUCGGGAGAGGUGAGUGGAACUGCGAGUGUAGAGGUGAAAUUCGUAGAUAUUCGCAAGAACACCAGUGGCGAAGGCGGCUCACUGGCCCGAUACUGACGCUGAGGCACGAAAGCGUGGGGAGCAAAC
rnacentral:rRNA from 1 species